rnacentral:rRNA from 1 species
CCCUUAGAUGUUCUGGGCCGCACGCGCGCUACACUGAUGCAUUCAACGAGUCUAAAACCUGCUCUGAUAGGGGUGGGUAAUCUUUUGAAUGUGCAUCGUGAUUGGGAUAGAUGAUUGCAAUUUUUCAUCUUCAACGAGGAAUGCCUAGUAAACGCAAGUCAUCAGCUUGCAUUGAUUACGUCCCUGCCCUUUGUACACACCGCCCGUCGCUCCGACCGAUUGAAUGAUCCGAUGAAUAUCAUGGAUUGAGGAUGCAAGUAGGUUCGCCUAUCUUCAUCUUCGAGAAGUGAAGUAAAUCUUAUCAUUUAGAGGAAGGAGAAGUCGUAACA